UAAAUUUAGCAACGCGCUGGAAUGAUAAAAAACUAUCCCUGGAAGAUACAAUUAACGGUCCUUAAAACCAAUUGAGGUUUUUUGCAACACGCCCCAAGUUCUCUGCUGUCACGUCAACACACGUGAUUAUAAAUUCGUGAAAAAAUCUCCUGGCUGAAUUCGGGUCAAUCUCGUGAAGCUGGAAAUGGAGAAAGUCGGAUCAAUAGGCGACGGUGCCAGCUUCGCCGGAAAUGGGACUCUCAGGCAAUUGGAAGCCGCGGAAAGUCACCGGAGGAAAAUGGAAACUUGGCGACAUUUGGCAUUCCAUCGUCCGAUAAGCGAAGCCGCGGAACAGCCAUAGCGUCAAACAAUAUUUGGAUCGCACGGCCGUGGCCAAACUCAGUAUUUGUGUAAAAAUUGUGUUUCGCCGGAAGCUUCGAGAUAGAACCACCGACGAACGUGCGGAUGAUUAUUUUGUGAAAGUGCUAUUGAAAAGUUAUUUUGAAAAUAGCGAAAUUGGAAAUCUUGUUCGCUACAAAAUGUUUCAAAUAAAAAAUAAUGUGUAAAAUAA